GGCCUCGUGGUGUGGCGGUUAGCACUCUGGACUCUGAAUCCGGCGACCCCAGUUCGAGUCUCGGCGAGGCCU
rfam:Trichobilharzia regenti genome assembly, scaffold: TRE_contig0042976